UACGUAGGGGGGCAAGCGUUGUCCGGAAUCAUUGGGCGUAAAGAGCGCGUAGGCGGCCCUGUAAGUCCGCUGUGAAAGUCAAAGGGCUCAACCCUUGGAUGCCGGUGGAUACUGCAGGGCUAGAGUCCGGAAGAGGCGAGUGGAAUUCCUGGUGUAGCGGUGAAAUGCGCAGAUAUCAGGAGGAACACCGAUGGCGAAGGCAGCUCGCUGGGACGGUACUGACGCUGAGGCGCGAAAGCGUGGGGAGCAAACAGG
rnacentral:rRNA from 1 species